rnacentral:rRNA from 1 species
AUCCCUACGGGAGGCAGCAGUGAGGAAUAUUGGUCAAUGGGCGGAAGCCUGAACCAGCCAAGUCGCGUGAGGGAAUAAGGCCCUACGGGUCGUAAACCUCUUUUGCCGGGGAGCAAGGGCGGGGACGUGUCCCGGCCCGGAGAGUACCCGGAGAAAAAGCAUCGGCUAACUCCGUGCCAGCAGCCGCGGUAAUACGGAGGAUGCGAGCGUUAUCCGGAUUUAUUGGGCGUAAAGCGAGUGCAGGCGGUUCAAUAAGUCUGAUGUGAAAGCCUUCGGAUCAACCGGAGAAUUGCAUCAGAAACAGU